rnacentral:misc_RNA from 1 species
UUGAGUUUAUUACUUACUCAAACCCACUGUCAUCUGUACCUGUUGUUGCUUUGGCAGGCGGCUUCUGGGAGGAGCCGUAGCCUUUUGGGCGCCUGCCAGAGGACUUAAACUCUUACGUUUUUAUCUGAGUACAAGACCAAUAUCA